ensembl:lncRNA
CGGUGAUUUGCCUCAGUCCUGUGAAAGCUGACAGAGAAAAUGGCCUUAAAGACGCUUUUGACAACAAAGCCUCCAACACCCUAUUUUCGCCCCGCGCCAAUCCACCUAUGUGUGGUGUUGGUGGUGGAGCAGCCCAGGGUGGUGGCCUGGGAGUUUGACUCAAAUGGUGCGAGACCAGCACAGACAAAAAUGAAUAUUCUGGCCGCACUAACAGAUGGGGAUUCAGUGGCCAAAGUCACUGUAUUCGAGGAGUUUGGAAAAAGAUUUAAGGAUGGUGGGAGUUAUAAUGUAAAGGGGCUGUCCCUGAGAGGGCAGUCCCCCCCAUAUCAAUUAAAUAUAGCUAAGGACACGCUGUUCUUUAGGAGCGCUCCUAUAGCGCUCAGUGCAGCGCUCAAACUUGAAGCAGAGCUUCUAAUACACCCCCCCUCUCCACUGACUCCGCUGAGCACCUGCCGGGAUGCCAGGGGCCUGAUAACCGUGGAGGGCGAGGUGGUCGAGCUGUCAGCUUUAAAAGAAAUCACAGGGAGAGACGUCGUUCCAUUGCGCAACGUCACGAUGCAGCAGGGGGAAUCACAAAUGUCGCUGUGUUUCUGGAGGGAGGCGGCCGUAUGGCAGCUGCAGGAGGUACGCUCAGAGGACAUCGUGGGGGCACUCGGGGUGAUGGAGAUUGAGGGAGAUCCGGGGAACCUCAACCUUCUCCUAGAAGAUGGCCGUACCGUCUUAAUUGAGGAGAGAUUGUGGGAGCCAAUCGAACUUGUCAUGAUUGAACCCGUGAUAAAAGUUCAAAUUAAAAUGACAGGAAACAAGGUGCAGGCGAUUGAAGUGGCAAAAAAUUAAAAUUUCUACUGUUAUAAAAUGUGUAGAAGCCAUUCCACUACAUUUGUAUCGUGCAUAAUGAAACUGCCUUUUCUGUUGAUUUGAUUGAUUUGUGAUGAUGUAAUGAUGACGUCAGGGGGCGUCGGCUAUUUGAAUGUCACCUGAGUAAGGCCAGGUGUGUUUUUUCUAUUUCGAGAGCGGAAGGAGAUAUUAUUUUUGACCGCAUUACGCAUUGAAUUCUCCUUUUAUUUUGAUUGUGAUUUAGGUUGUUUUUGCCGAACAAUGAAUAAAGAAUUUUGAAGUGACAAUACGAGCAAAUGCGCGUUGAUUUUACUGACCGCUCCUACAACAAGUCAAAAAUACCUCAUCCGAACGCGAGGAAGGAACGCCAGGCCAGGUGGAAUUGAGCGAAGCUGUCCCGGAGUCACGUCGUCUUGGAUUGAUCUGGACUGCGGCCAGAAUCCGAUCUCACCGGUACCGUGAGUAAACGAGCAUAUGCGCUGUUUUCCGAACCUGGUUACGAUCAAACAUUAAGCCAAAAAUCGCAGAUUAUGACGUUUUUCUGACCGAUUUGGAUCAAUGGAAAAGUGCUCAGGCCGACCCACAUACUCUGGUGGAUGUUGGGGACAGCGUCUCACAAACUGGCUCACGACGCUCCAGAGGUUCCAAUUCUUCAUCUAUGGUUUCAGCACGCAUGAAGAUAGCUGCAGACAAAGCUGCUCUGCAGGCCAGAGCUAAAGCUCUGAAAAGGAAACACGAACUGGAAAAGGAAAAGCUUGAGCUGGG